GGCAGUGCCGGUGACAUAUCAAUUAGAUGUCCGCCCCAUCAAUUGUUGACGGUAAGGUAGUGGCUUACCGUGGUUACAACGGGUAACGGGGAAUCAGGGUUCGAUUCCGGAGAGGGAGCAUGAGAAAUGGCUGCCAGAUCUAUGGAUUGCAGCAGGUGCGAAAAUUAUCCACUUUUGGCAUAAAGAGAUAGUGAUGAUAAAUAACGGAUCUGGGCAUUUGUUCAGAGAUCGUAAUGAAAUAAUCGUAAAAGCUUUAAUGAACGCAAUUGGAGGGCAAGUCUGGUGCCAGCAGCCGCGGCAAUUCCAGUUCCAAUAGUGUAUACUAAAGUUGCUGCAGUUGAAAAGCUCGUAGUUGGAUCUCGGCUUGCUAGCGCGCGAGGCGUGUGAGUAGGCCUUUGCUGUAGUUGAGUGCUACGGCUUUACCUUGAACAAAAUAGAGUGCUUAAGGCAAGCAUUCUGCUUGAAUAUCUCAGCAUGGAAUAAUAGAAAAAGACUUUUCUGUUGGUUUACCAGUAGUAAAAGUAAUGAUUAACAGAGACAGACGGGGGCAUUCGUAUCGCACCGCUAGAGGUGAAAUUCGUAGAUCGGUGCGGGACGAACUACAGCGAAAGCAUUUGCCAAGGAUGUUUUCAUUAAUCAAGAACGAAAGUUGGAGUAUCGAAGUCGAUUAGAUCUCGUCGUAGUUCCAACUAUAAACGAUGCCAACUAGCACUCCGCUAAUAAGUAUUAGUACGUUAGCGGGUUGCUUCCGGGAAACCAAAGUCUUUGGGCUCCGGGGGAAGUAUGGUUGCAAAGCUGAAACUUAAAGGAAUUGACGGAAGGGCACCACCAGGAGUGGAGCCUGCGGCUCAAUUUGACUCAACACAGAAAAACUCACCCGGGCCGAACACAGUAAGGAUUGACAGACUGAUAGCUUUUUCUUGAUACUGUGGGUAGUGGUGCAUGGCCGUUGUUGGUUGGUGGAGUGAUCUGUCUGGUUAAUUCCGAUAACGAACGAGACUCAGGCCUACUUACUAGUUGUUCGAUUGCUGGUCGAUCAACUUCUUAGAGGGAUCAGUGUUUAAAACACUUGAAAAUGAGCAAUAACAGGUCUGUGAUUGCCCUUAGACGUUCGGGGCUGCACGCGCGCUACAAUGGAGAAAGCAGUGGGUGUCUUGCUUGGCAAAGCAAGCUGAGCCUUAAAAUUUCUUCGUGACAGGGAUCGAGGCUUGUAAUUAUUCCUCGUGCACAAGGAAUUCCUAGUAAUCGCAGGUCAUUAGCCUGCAAUGAUUACGUCCCUGCCCUUUGUACACACCGCCCGUCGCUACUACCGA
rnacentral:rRNA from 1 species